AUGUCAUUAUCGUGUCUUCUCCUGUGCCUGGUAGCAGGUCCUGAAGAUGCCCUGUCCCAGGAGCAGCUGCAGGAGUCAGCCCUGGACCUGAAUAGCACACACUUACCCUCUGCCUCACCUACACUGUUACUGGCCACUCCGUCACAACCAGUCCUUACUAGUGGACCUGGAUCUGCCGGCUCUCAGGGAGGGGCUGCAAUGGAU